AGAACGAACGCUGGCGGCAGGCUUAACACAUGCAAGUCGAACGGGCGUAGCAAUACGUCAGUGGCAGACGGGUGAGUAACACGUGGGAACCUUCCUAGGGGUACGGAACAACUCAGGGAAACUUGAGCUAAUACCGUAUACGUCCGUAAGGAGAAAGAUUCAUCGCCCCUAGACGGGCCCGCGUCGGAUUAGGUAGUUGGUGGGGUAACGGCCUACCAAGCCUACGAUCCGUAGCUGAUCUGAGAGGAUGAUCAGCCACACUGGGACUGAGACACGGCCCAGACUCCUACGGGAGGCAGCAGUGGGGAAUCUUGGACAAUGGGCGCAAGCCUGAUCCAGCCAUGCCGCGUGAGUGAAGAAGGCCUUAGGGUUGUAAAGCUCUUUUACCAGGACGAUAAUGACGGUACCUGGAGAAUAAGCCCGGCAAACUUCGUGCCAGCAGCCGC
rnacentral:rRNA from 1 species